GGGUGCGGCGUGCUACCAUGCAGUCGCACGGGACCCGCAAGGGUUCAGUGGCGGACGGGUGCGUAACACGUGAGGAACAUGCCUAUCGGCGGGGGAUAGCCGGCCCAACGGCCGGGUAAUACCGCGUACGCUCACCGGGGGGCAUCCCCUGGUGAGGAAAGCAGCAAUGCACCGAUAGAGUGCCUCGCGGCCUAUCAGCUAGUUGGUGAGGUAAUGGCUCACCAAGGCUACGACGGGUAGCUGGUCUGAGAGGAUGAUCAGCCACAUUGGGACCGAGACACGGCCCAGACUCCUACGGGAGGCAGCAGUGGGGAAUCUUGCGCAAUGGCCGAAAGGCUGACGCAGCGACGCCGCGUGUGGGAUGACGGCCUUCGGGUUGUAAACCACUGUCGGAAGGGACGAAUGGCCCGCAAGGGCAGUGACGGUACCUUCAAAGGAAGCACCGGCUAACUCCGUGCCAGCAGCCGCGGUAAUACGGAGGGUGCGAGCGUUGUCCGGAAUCACUGGGCGUAAAGGGCGCGUAGGCGGCCCGGUAAGUAGGGGGUGAAAUCUUGCGGCUUAACCGCAAGGCUGCCUUCUAGACUGCCAGGCUCGAGCACAGUAGAGGCAGGUGGAAUUCCCGGUGUAGCGGUGGAAUGCGUAGAGAUCGGGAAGAACAUCAGUGGCGAAGGCGGCCUGCUGGACUGUAGCUGACGCUGAGGCGCGACAGCGUGGGGAGCAAACAGGAUUAGAUACCCUGGUAGUCCACGCCGUAAACGAUGGGCACUAGGCGUCGGGGGGAGCGACCCUCCCGGUGCCGUCGCUAACGCAGUAAGUGCCCCGCCUGGGGAGUACGGCCGCAAGGCUGAAACUCAAAGGAAUUGACGG
rnacentral:rRNA from 1 species